rnacentral:rRNA from 1 species
CAGUAGCCGCGGGAAAACGUAGGUGGCAAGCGUUGUCCGGAAUUAUUGGGCGUAAAGGGCUCGCAGGCGGUUUCUUAAGUCUGAUGUGAAAGCCCCCGGCCCAACCGGGGAGGGUCAUUGGAAACUGGGAAACUUGAGUGCAGAAGAGGAGAGUGGAAUUCCACGUGUAGCGGUGAAAUGCGUAGAGAUGUGGAGGAACACCAGUGGCGAAGGCGACUCUCUGGUCUGUAACUGACGCUGAGGAGCGAAAGCGUGGGGAGCGAACAGGAUUAGAUACCCCUGUAGUCCCUGUCUCUUAUAC